UACGUAGGGCGCAAGCGUUGUCCGGAAUUAUUGGGCGUAAAGAGCUCGUAGGCGGUUUGUCGCGUCUGCUGUGAAAACCUAAGGCUCAACCUUGGACAGGCAGUGGAGAACUCGGGGACUCGAGUACGGUAGGGGUAGAGGGAAUUCCCGGUGAAGCAGUGAAAUGCACAGAGAUCGGGAAGAACACCAGUGGCGAAGGCGCUCUACUAGGCCGUGACUGACACUGAGAGACGAUAGCUAGGGGAGCGAAUAGG
rnacentral:rRNA from 1 species